GGCGGGGGCAGCGGGACCUGCCGGCACUGCCGUGCCUGGAUACCUCCCAGGGAAACGCUGUGCUUUUUCUUUUCCCUUUUUCCAUCUAGCAGAUUGCCACUCGCCGCUCUCCCUCCCUGCCCGGCCGGCCUGGUUUUCCUUUUCCUUUUUUUUUUUUUUCUUUUCUUCCUUUUCUCAAUUUUUUUUUAUUUUUUCCCCUUUCUUUUUCUUUCUUUUUCCUUUUUUUUUUUUUUUGAAAGUGAAUUUUCCACUUCUAAAAUGACUCCGCUGGCCUUCGUAACUUGGGGGAGAGGAGCAGCAGUUCUGUGAGGUGCUCGGCGUUCCCCUCGCCCCAAAGCCCUGCCCUCCUGCGGGCGCAGACCGCUCCCCCUUUUCCCUUUUCCGGGGCGAGAGCUGCGCCGUGGGACCCCUCGGCCGUGGGACCCCGCGGCCCGGGCCCUGGCUCUCGGCAUGGACUUAGGCGCUCUUUGAAGAUUUCUACUUUAAAAUCCACACGGGAUUAAUGUAACUAACAUUUUUCUGCAUCUGAUUUGGUUUGAGGUUUUUUCCUCCCUCCACUUCUUUCUUUUUUCUUUUUUUUCCUUAACUAUGCCAAACAAAAAGAAAAAAUUGGCGUAAUGUAAAAAUGGUUUAAAAACCAAAGGUAAGUAACUACUAUACGUGGCAAGACGCGCCUUUUUGUUUGUUUUUCCUAAUUAAAAUAAUUUUCACUUUUUUAAUAUGAUCUCGUGCCUCGCUAUUGAUUUGUAUCAAACAGCAGCGUCCGCUUCCCUUUCGUAUUUUGUUAGGUGUCGAAAGCAGAAAGUGCUGAGUUAGAAACUCCAGUAUCGUCUCGUUGUAUUAAUAUCUGGGCUGCAAACUACCUUUUUUAAUACCCAGAAAAAUGCUUAAAGUCCUCUUGUCCAGUUCGGUCUAAAACUGAAGAGAUACACAAAUCCUGACGUCUUAGACUACAAUGCUUUUGCCUCCAGGACACUUAAUGCCUAUUUGUAUAUGUAGAGACAGUGUUUGAAACCUAUAAUGCGCAGGACACUGAGUUAAGUGGAGCUUUUCUAGUUUAUAAACAAUCCGCAAAAAGUUUGGAAUCGAUUUAACCUCUUUUAUGUUGGCCUUUUGCACGAGGCACAGCUCCGCAUGGCAGGAUAAAAAAAAAAGGCUUUCUGGACCUCGCCGAAGUCUCUCUGAAAGUGGAAGACGGACACACAUCUCUCCGUACGAGAAAGCCUUUGAUUAUAAAUAUGGGAAAAGUGUCAUGCAACCAGACCCGCUCGAAAAGCCUUCAGAAAAGAACGGGGGGGUGAAAGCUUAGCGCAUCCUGACGGGCUUUUUAAAUGCUAUUGAUUGGGACAAGCUGUUCAAAACCCCAGUAACAGUUAAUCUGCCUGUUAAUCAAGCCACUAAGGAGCUCAAUGCGAGUUUUAUUAGCAACCGGAGAACACAGGCGGCAAAAGGAUCAAAAGCCUACACCCUUGAUAUUUGUAAAACCGGCCUUUCCCAAAAAUAUAUUUUCAAUUACACAGUAAUUCGGAGCUUAUCAGGGCUCGCUCGCAGCCCCACGCAGAUGGCUCCGAGGACGCUGCCAGAGCCACAGAAGGGAAGGAAGAAGCAUCGCGCCGUCCCCGCCGAGGUGCGCGGGUUAAAAAGAACGCUUUAAGGAGAUGUCCCGCUCUCGCCUCUCUCCCAUCUCGGACCCUCCUGGCCUCCCGAAAUAGCAGCAAAACCUCCACUCGGCAAACCACGAGAAACCGAGGGAGAAACUCGUAUUCACGUCAAUUGUGUUAUUAGGCUGAGGGGUGGAGGGUUCUUUUUUCUUUUAGCUGGCGUAUUUGAUUUAUUGCGGCAAGUUUGCAGGGCAUAUUUCCCUCUGUCCAUCCUUUUGGUAGAACCUCUCAUUUAAUUGCUUAAAAAAAAAAAAAGUUUGGAGAGCCUGAAAGUUGGAUUUCAAUUAAUUUAAUGACCAGAAAUACUAUUAUAUCGGCUAAAAUCAACAUUUGAUCUUGUCAUUUUUAAAAUGCAAUCCGAUUCCUUUAUAUGUCAGCGAGAUAUGCAUAUAAAAGACUAUCUGGUCAGAGGUAAUUAUGUCACAGCUUUUUCUCGGCAUGACAGCUGGAUAAACACCAUCUCCAAUAAACAUCUCUAAUUAGGGAGGAGGAUCUGAGAUAGAUGGUGUUUGAUUUAUUACUGAAGGAGAAUGUCCAUUUACCGGUAUAUUAUAGAGAAGCAUCACAGGGAGCGUUCCCGCUAACGCACCAUAAGGAGUAUUUGGAGAUGCCCGAAGACAGCGUUACUUUUCUGUUUGAUCCCCGAUGACAGAAAAGCAGAGCUCUGAAUACUCACUGUGGGCACAGAGGAAGGGCUGGGAGCCUGGGUCACCCUCUGGGGGGAAAGAUCCUGCCAAGUGAGCUGGUGGGAGCUGUGAGGGGUGCAAUCCUGGGAGUGUUUGAUCCAGUGGCUUUGCUCACACCACAGAGGUAACUCGUGCGUCAAAAGCUGAAAUUCAGUAGAAGCUGAUGAAGCCACCAUGGAGAAAUGCUGGUUCACCACACUGGCUAGCACCAGCUUGGUCUGGCUCCAGCUCCGGGAUGUGCAGCCUACAGACACAGGAAUGAAAAGAAAUAUUCUAAAAAGGAUGAGUCAGCUGGAGGCCAGUGGGGAGAGUGUGCAGGAUCUGACUGGAAUUUUAAAAGCUAUGAGGCUCCACGUUGUUUUGAGCCCUGCCAGUGGAGAAACUCAAACAUGGGAAAGGCUUUGUCAUCUGGCAUAAUUAUGGCACUUUGCUGAUUAGCUGGUAAACUCUUUUCAAAGUGCUUCUAGACAAUAGUAAUUUCAUGAAAUAGAAAAACUUCCUGGUGCCACCACCAACAAGGGCAUGAUUUACAUGGUAUUGAAAAGUGUCUUCCCCAGAACCCCACCAGACUGUUGAACAGCCAUGAAAUUGGGUUUUUUUAGCAUGUAUUAGAUGACUUACCCAUUAAAACAGUUGAGGUAUCUUCACAUCUUCACUUCUGUGCUGUAAGCUGGAUGUGAGCUGUGAGUGCACCCACAGUGGUAGUGCAACUGAUGCCUCAGGUUUCAGCUUUUCUAUUUUCACAUUCUGUGUGGCUUUAAUGUUUAUUUCCUGGGCUCCACAUGAGGGGAUGGUGAGCUCUCUGCACAGAGCAGGGAGACAAAACAAUUCCUGCUCUAGCUGGGCACCAAGGACAAAUGAUCCAAAUCUCAGCCCCAAGAGCACAAACACCGUGGGCUGGAGAGAGAAAAACAAGCAGAGUGGGACUGCCUGGGCCAAAGCUGGAAUGGGACAAUGAACUGCAAGGUGCAAAUGGAGCAGAACUGAUCCCAGGGAGAGACCCCGGGAGCUCUCAUGCAUUUUGGGCCAUUUUGGUUCAUCUUGGGUGCAGCCCUGGCUGGGCUCUUGUGCUGCCCAAGGUGGGUCCAUGGAGGAGAUCCUUUGAAUAAAUCCCUGCUUUAUUCUUUAGCUCUGUCUGGUCUUGUUCUAGGUCAGCCUAGAACAGAGCUUGUUGUUCAAGGCAUCACAGCCUGGAUUUCUCUGCUUGAUUUUCUGUGUGUUUGCACCAACUAGGACAUCAGCAGUUUUGUGUGAAGCUCCUCCACUCAGCCUCCAGCCAGGUACCAGCACAUCCUCCCUGGCUACUCUGGGAAGUGCAUACCAAUGCAGUGCCCAGCAUUGGUAUAAUUUGUGAGGCACGUAACUUUCAAAGAUUUGAAGCUUUGGCCAUAAGGUUCUUUGAAUAAAUGAUGUCAGAAUUACUUCUAAUGGUUGUGUGGAAAUGUACACAUCCCAUUCCUCCCCUACAAAGAGUGAUCCACCCAGUCCUACUUUCCAACGUGGUCAGACUAGUGGGGAGAGUCUGUGCACCUCCAAGCAAGGUUUUGGGAAGGAAAUGCUGCUGCCAUGUUGUGACUGGCCAUCCUUUACAGCUGCACUGUGUCUGCCUUUCCUGCACUCCUCCACCUUUCCUUCCAUCAAACCUGGUCAUUCCCAGGGAUGCUGACCCAAACUGUGGGACUGGCCAUGGGAAAGAAGGGUGAGCACAGCUGAUUGCUGCCUCCUCUGGGAGGAGCAGAUCCCUCUCCCACAUGUGCAUAAAUGAGCCACCAGUCCAAGCACAUUAAAUCAGACCAGGUAAUUUCCCUGAGGGAUAUCCCAUAAUCUUAGUGGGAAGCAGGGAAAUAUCAGCAGUGCUUUAUUGCUCUCACAGCCAUGGUGUGGGAGGUUAUUCCCCAGCUGCCUGGGAUGGUUAGCAAAGGGCCUGAGGUGGGCUCAGGGCCACUAGCAGCUUUCACCAAGGGCUUGUUGAGGACCUUCACACCAGUAAAAAAGCACUGGUGAGUUUUAGACAAGGCAACCAACCCAGUUUUCAUCCCAGGAACGUGCUGGAACAAGUGACACACAACUGUUUGUAAACACCCCAGGGGGAGCUACCAACAGGGAUUUGUCAAGGACAAAAUAUGUUAAAUCACUCCAGUUAUUUCCACAGAACUCACAGAAUGACCAGGUUGGAGGAGACCUUCAAGAUCAUGGAGUCCAACCCAGCCCCAACACCUCAACUCAACCCUGGCACCCAGGGCCACAUCCAGGCUUUGUUAAACACGCCCAGGGAUGGGGACUCCACCACCUCCCAAGGUGGCAGGCAAUUCCAGAACUCAUCACUCUUUCUGUAAAAAACUUCCAAAUAUCCACCCUGUAUUUAUUUCCCAUGACACAGCUUGGGACUGGGGAAGCCCUGCCAUGUGGUGAGAAGCCAUGGAUGAGAGAAAAGAAGCCCUGCCUCCAGUUUUCUCUCACUUGAGGAAGGUAGCACUUCUCAGGAAGCUUCCUUGAACAAGGCUGGGAAAUGUGGGUUGGAUGAAGAGACCCUGCAACCCCCAGGGACAAGGGGACAGCAGCAGUGCCUUCAGUGCCAGCUUGAGCUAGCAGUGGGUCGGGCUGGGGGAUGGUCAGCCUUGCAACCAGACACUGCUAAAUUGUCAUUCCUGUCCUGGAGCAGGUAUUACCCAAUCCCAGUCUCAGAUGACCCAAAGCAAAGAGGAGCAGUGGCAUGCAGGGAGGUGGGGUGGUGUUCAGGAUGACCACUUGGGGCUGGAAGGAGCAAGGGACGGGUGUGGUGAAACUAGGGGUGGGGUGAAGCACAGCCAGGUGGGUGCCAUGCUCCCAUUGGGAUGUUUUGCUUUAGGAGCCACAGGAGCCUUGAGAGUUGAGUGCUGAAAAUUAUGACAGGCUUGGAAAACGGGACUUAUUGCAGAACAGAUCAACCACCUGGAGCUGCUGAGAUUAAAGAGGAGAAGGUGCUGAGCAGCAAGAGAUUAUAACAACCUUUAAGUUCAUUACAGGUAGUGACCUAGGGGAAGGCUUGCUGUGUGUGUUCCUCCCGGGUAGGACUGCAGCAAACGGGCUCGGUGCGCGGCAAAGGAACUCGUUCCAAGCCUGAGGCAUGUCAUCCCUGACAGCAAGGCCAAUGAGAAGCCGGGACAGCCUGCCGGGAUGGGCCGAAGGAGCCUCAGGGACCCCGGGCAUCUUCUCUUGAUGCGGAGGGAUGGUCCAGACGACCUGCUGAUAUUUCUGGCCCUUUAAAAAUUUUUAUAAUGCCACGAGAUCAUCCUGUGGAUUUCAUUAGGAUGCCUCCUGGAAUAAAAAUCCCUCCCGGGGCUUGUUCCUGGGCCGCAGCUCACCUGUGCGGUGCUGCUCUCCGGCGCGAAGUGGGUGCGAAACGCUGCUGCGGGGAUGCGCGGCUGUCGCACACCUGCGCUCCAAAGCGCAAAUAACUCCCCGGGCUGCGAGCCGGGGGCCGGGCCCCUGGCAAGCCGGGGACUCUGACUGAUGAAUUUUCACAGCAGGUGAGAGCAGCAGGAGACACACACAUCGCAGAUUUCACGUACAGACAGCCGCGCUCUGGAAGACAAAUGGAGGGAAUACCUCGGGAUGUGGCUGCCGGGUCAGCCUCCAGCAUCACCCCGUGGCAGACAAAUCCCUGCCCUCAGCCUUGGCAUGAGGCACCUGCUGAGGUGGAGGGGGUGACACAGCUCCUGCGGCCAGCUCCCAAUUUUCUUCAUUACCUGCUGUGAGAUUCUCCCAAAGAUAAGAGGCUCUUGUGCAAAGCCGCUAAUUUAGUCCCAGCAAACAAGAAAAUAAGUCUGGAUGUGAAAGGCUGGUGGGAUUUUGACAAGAUGCAUGUAGAGGUUGGGCGACUAGUCUUAAUUAGGCCAUCUUUGUUUACAUUUGAUGUUUAUCAGCUAAUUGGCAUGGCAAGGUGUGAGUCACACAGCUUCCCUCUGGCAUGAAAUCAGUUCGCAGGAGAAAAACUGGGAGAACAAAUGAUCCCAAUUAUAAGAAAACCCACUGUGCUAAUUACCAUCCCACGGACUACGGAGCCUCCCACACGCGUCCUUCCCCGGCGUCCCCCAGGCAGGGCCAGCCCCGGCACACUCCUCCCACCCGGUUCCCAGCCCCUGGUUCUGCCCGGGACCCUCCCCUGGCACUGCAGGAGCAAAGGUGAUGCUUCACCGGCUGCUCACUUCAUGCCCCGCAGCAUUUCCCCGGGACUAAGCCUACUGCCCUUUUUGUUUCCCCCUCCAUGCCUUUUUUUUUUGUUUUGUUUUUUUUUUUU